GACAGAGGGUGCAAACGUUGUUCGGAAUUACUGGGCGUAAAGCGAGUGUAGGCGGUUUGGUAAGUCGGAUGUGAAAGCCCCGGGCUCAACCCGGGAAGUGCACUCGAUACUGCCAAGCUAGAGUAUCGGAGAGGUUGGUGGAAUUCUCGGUGUAGAGGUGAAAUUCGUAGAUAUCAGGAGGAACACCGGUGGCGAAGGCGGGGUCUCUGGGCCGAUACUGACGCUGAGGAGCGAAAAGCGUGGGGGAGCGAAACAGG
rnacentral:rRNA from 1 species